CACGUAGGAGGCGAGCGUUGUCCGGAUUUACUGGGCGUAAAGAGCGCGCAGGCGGUCGUUCAAGUCGCGUGUGAAAGCCCCCGGCUCAACUGGGGAGGGUCACGCGAUACUGAUCGACUCGAAGGCAGGAGAGGGUAGUGGAAUUCCCGGUGUAGUGGUGAAAUGCGUAGAUAUCGGGAGGAACACCAGUGGCGAAGGCGACUACCUGGCCUGUUCUUGACGCUGAGGCGCGAAAGCUAGGGGAGCAAACGGG
rnacentral:rRNA from 1 species